rnacentral:rRNA from 1 species
AUUGAACGCUGGCGGCAGGCCUAACACAUGCAAGUCGAGCGGAUGAGAAGAGCUUGCUCUUCGAUUCAGCGGCGGACGGGUGGGUAAUGCCUAGGAAUCUGCCUGGUAGUGGGGGACAACGUUUCGAAAGGAACGCUAAUACCGCAUACGUCCUACGGGAGAAAGCAGGGGACCUUCGGGCCUUGCGCUAUCAGAUGAGCCUAGGUCGGAUUAGCUAGUUGGUGAGGUAAUGGCUCACCAAGGCUACGAUCCGUAACUGGUCUGAGAGGAUGAUCAGUCACACUGGAACUGAGACACGGUCCAGACUCCUACGGAGGCAGCAGUGGGGAAUAUUGGACAAUGGGCGAAAGCCUGAUCCAGCCAUGCCGCGUGUGUGAAGAAGGUCUUCGGAUUGUAAAGCACUUUAAGUUGGGAGGAAGGGCAGUAAGCUAAUACCUUGCUGUUUUGACGUUACCGACAGAAUAAGCACCGGCUAACUCUGUGCCAGCAGCCG